rnacentral:sRNA from 1 species
UGAAAGAAAUCCAUAUUUCGAAAUAGGUGCAUUUAAAGAGAAAUGCAGGCCAUUAUUGGAAAACUAACAACAAAUGAUAUCUGAGAGCAGUUACGUCAUUGAAAAAAUGUAAUAGAUACAGAUUAAAGAAAAUAAUGCCGAAAGAUUUUGGUGGCAGUUGUUGAAGCAACAUCGGGUCUAACUGUUCUCUAUAUGACGACAAAAUAAUGAUGAUAUGAUGGUGGUGAUGAUUUUACCAAUGUGUCUGGUCAAGUUCAAUGGCAUAACGGUGGAAAAAUGAGGAAAAUUUUUAAUAUAAAUACUAAUGGAUGUAUGGAAAUGGUUCACAGUUUGAUUUGAAACAUUCGGAGAUAAUAAACCUCAACAACCUCAACACUAAAGUGAAAAUGGCAGCGAUUAUUUAUUUGGCAAUUAUAACAACACUCAUAUUGCCCUUGCAAUCUCAAAUUUAUCCCAGUUAUCCCUAUUAUUAUUACAACACACGCCCACCAUUUAGCGUCCAACCCACUUUUUCACAAUUGACAACAACAACACCCACACCAUUUAUAUAUCGGCCAUUCUACAAUGGGAACACAAAUGGCAUUCGUAUUUGGCCGUAUGUCAUAGGAUACUCGGGAUAUUAUGGUAAUAGGUAUUUAUACACCUUUGACGAACAAACCAAUCCAACGGCUCCAACUCUGGACACGGUUGGGCCAAAUUCGUGGUUUUACAAUAAUAAUUGGAAUACGGGCAAAAAAUGAGAUUUUUUCCCAAUCGAUUAGUGGUAGAUGUUAGUUUAGAUUUCUAAGUUUAACUGUUAAAUCGUAGUUAUAUUCAUAGACCAUAUACUUCCAUGUGCAUGCAUAAU